rnacentral:rRNA from 1 species
AGACCCGAAACCCGGUGAUCUAGCCAUGGGCAGGUUGAAGGUUGGGUAACACUAACUGGAGGACCGAACCGACUAAUGUUGAAAAAUUAGCGGAUGACCUGUGGCUGGGGGUGAAAGGCCAAUCAAACCGGGAGAUAGCUGGUUCUCCCCGAAAGCUAUUUAGGUAGCGCCUCGUGAAUUCAUCUCCGGGGGUAGAGCACUGUUUCGGCUAGGGGGCCAUCCCGGCUUACCAACCCGAUGCAAACUGCGAAUACCGGAGAAUGUUAUCACGGGAGACACACGGCGGGUGCUAACGUCCGUCGUGAAGAGGGAAACAACCCAGACCGCCAGCUAAGGUCCCAAAGUCAUGGUUAAGUGGGAAACGAUGUGGGAAGGCCCAGACAGCCAGGAUGUUGGCUUAGAAGCAGCCAUCAUUUAAAGAAAGCGUAAUAGCUCACUGGUCGAGUCGGCCUGCGCGGAAGAUGUAACGGGGCUAAACCAUGCACCGAAGCUGCGGCAGCGACACUAUGUGUUGUUGGGUAGGGGAGCGUUCUGUAAGCCUGUGAAGGUGUGCUGUGAGGCAUGCUGGAGGUAUCAGAAGUGCGAAUGCUGACAUAAGUAACGAUAAAGCGGGUGAAAAGCCCGCUCGCCGGAAGACCAAGGGUUCCUGUCCAACGUUAAUCGGGGCAGGGUGAGUCGACCCCUAAGGCGAGGCCGAAAGGCGUAGUCGAUGGGAAACGGGUUAAUAUUCCCGUACUUGGUGUUACUGCGAAGGGGGGACGGAGAAGGCUAUGUUGGCCGGGCGACGGUU